ACGCUCGACACCUACGGGAGGCAGCAGUGGGGAAUAUUGCACAAUGGGGGAAACCCUGAUGCAGCGACGCCGCGUGAGCGAAGAAGUAUUUCGGUAUGUAAAGCUCUAUCAGCAGGGAAGAAAGUGACGGUACCUGACUAAGAAGCACCGGCUAAAUACGUGGCAGCAGCCGCGGUAAUCUGAGCGGGCUGGCAAGGC
rnacentral:rRNA from 1 species